rnacentral:rRNA from 1 species
CUGCUGCCUCCCGUAGGAGUUUGGGCCGUGUCUCAGUCCCAAUGUGGCCGUCCACCCUCUCAGGCCGGCUACUGAUCGUCGCUUUGGUAGGCCGUUACCCUGCCAACUGGCUAAUCAGACGCGGGUCCAUCGCAUACCACCUCGGUUUUUCACACUGGACCAUGCGGUCCCGUGCGCUUAUGCGGUAUUAGCACCUGUUUCCAGGUGUUAUCCCCCGGUAUACGGCAGGUUACCCACGCGUUACUCACCCGUCCGCCACUAACUUAACA